rnacentral:lncRNA from 1 species
AACAAAUGAACAUAAUGUUUAUUUUAGAAAUUUAUGUUUCUUGCUAUUCCAUCUUUCUAAAUACAACCACCACAACCAACAGUAUUACCACGUUUGACUCAACUGCACUGCUCAGCCUAACGACAGACCACUCAAAGUUGACCAUGAUCCAGUGUGUGGGCACCAUCUCCUGGUCAGCGACGGGAAGGCAGAAAAAAAUGUUUAAAACAUUUUUAAUUCAUUUUUACCUGACACUUGAUGUAACAGCAUAAUUUUGAUGUGAAGAUGAAUGCAUAUGGUAUUACUAUCUCAUCAUGUUAGUAGUAAUGGGUCUGAAGCUAUGAUAAUUGUCAUUCAGACAAUUUUCUGACUUCGAAAAAACCAUAGUGUUAUCAACCUCAAAAAUCAUAUCCUAGAUUCUUCAUACGUUUUCUUAAAGCUCUUACUUAAGGCCUAGACAUUUAGUUUCUCUCAAAAUUAUCAUCCUAAAAGCAUAGUUUUGCUCCAAGAACAUUAAAUGAAGCCCUAAAUUGGUUAGUAUUCAUUUAUCAUUUCAAUUAAAAGAUUCUAGUUACAAAUUUUAAUUUCAGUAUCACCUUUUUUGAAUAUUACAGUAGGGCCUUUUUCUUUCUCUUUUAAGUGGCUAUUUAACUGGGUUUUUUCAGUCAGAUAGCAAAUUGCUUCAGAAGAUUACAGAAAUUCAGACACCAGCCCAAUUCACAGAUUCUGUAAUUACAUCUGAUUUUAUUUCUAAAAUAGAAAUGGGUGCAGUGUUCAGGAGCACUAUGUUACAAAGAAUCCCAACUUGGCAUUGAUCCCAACUGAUUCGUAACUUAUUAUUCAUUCAGUCAGCCUGAGCUAACCUGUCUCAGACUGCAAUAAGGCAAAACUUUAUACAUUUGAAUAGAGCAUAUCUUUCAGCUGAACUAUGUUCUAAUCAAAUAUUGCCAACCUACACCAAUCAUUUUUUUAUUACCGAUGGAUAUUUGCAUUUUGAAGAGUGGUAGGAUUCUGGAGGAUGUUGAUAUCUGCUUUUCUGCAUCACCAAAAAAUCAAGUCACUUUCCUUACAAGCUGCUGUCAUUUUCAGCAAAAAACUAUCAGUUGUUUGCUUUCUAAAAUAAAACAUCAUCUCCUGACAGCUGACACUGACAAAUUUUCCUAUGCUCCCUUCAGUGUGCUGAGGUCUGACAAUUAGGUUUCUAGCGGGAUUGUUAGUCCUUAUGUUCAUUUAGGGCUGUUAGUGAUGAAAUCAUUCUCAGAGUGGGUUUUGGGUUUUUUUUUAAUUGUAAAGUUGCUCACCGGUAGCAGGGAUGGCUACCAAUUUCUCUCAUAUGGGUCACUGACCAGACACCAGAUGGUGGAAAUAUUCUGUUCCCACUAAUCUGGCCCAGAGUUGGCAAUUCAGAGGUGAAAAGCUUUAUCCCAUUACCAACUGCCUGAGCCAUCCUGUCUCACACCUGCAGGCUAAAGAUUAAACAGUUAAUAGUCUUGAAGUAACUACCACCCCCUCAAACAUUCCACCUACAACCCAUCCCAGGCACCUACUGGGAAGAUCUCAGAAGAGAUCCAUAAAUGUCCGUACACUUUACUGAAUUUAAAUUCUACCUAAGGAGGAAUAAAAAAGAAGCCAGGCUGGUAAAAUAACAGCAUCAAUUGGCAUAAUGCUACUUAUACAACAGCUGGAAGGAAAAGUUUACUGCAGAUAAAAUAUCAGGAAAAAUAGAAGCUACAGAAAAAAAAAGAAAAUACAAUUAGAAAAUACAGUCAAACACCUUAAUCAGCUCUGAACAGCAGAACUAGAUCUUUUAGUGAACGUAUUCACCCUAUCCUUACAAUUCCCUUUGCCUCUGCACAAGUACAUUGUUUUGCUGCACAUUCAAGAUAUCAAUUUUUAUACAUCAGGCUUCUGUGUUGCAUCCAAAAUCACAUCAAAAUUCCUACUUUCCGCCACAAAUUGCCAGCAGAACUAGUGUUACAUUUGUGAAGAUGACACCAAAUGUACCAUUUGGUGUUCAAGAUAACUGCAACAGAAACAAUUCGAAGAAUUCCUGAGCUUCUCUAUAUCCAGACAAAAUCACUGAAAUUCUUUUAAAAUGCAGAAGUGUUUAAUAUCAACAUACAUUUUGAGAAUAUGAGAUCACAAGAGGAAGGAGUUAGUAGGUUAUUUUUUAUAUGUAGAUACGUUUACAUUUCUCUGCAUUAGAUUUGCAUAUAUUUGGAUCUAUAUUCUUUCAGUCCUGCAGAAAAACAUGAUUCAGAUUACACAUCAUGAUCUCAUAAAAUCCUGUUACACCAUAAUUACUUUAUCUAGUUAGACUCUUUUUCCUAUCUGGAAGAUUUGACUAUUCAAACCUGUCGAGCAGUGCACAAAGAACUCAUUCACAAGGGAACUAUGAAAGUAACUGUACAAAAUGUACCCUGCAAAAAGGGUAAACAUAGCUCCCUGGUGCUCCCUUACAUGUCUUAAGUGUUCAUUCCUUACUCUGUGUUUCAUACAGCUUCACUUAUGGCAGGUAUGGAAAGUUGUGUAGUAUAUAUAAGUGCUUGGUAAGCAUAAGUUUUAUUUAUGACAACCUGCUUAAUUCAUUUACAGCUAUGAUGUCUCUAAGGACUGAAAACACCCCAUCUUUUGUCCAUAAAACCACCCUAUCACAUCAUGCUAUGUGUCAUAGUACUAGUAGCAAAACCAUUGUUCUAAAGUAAUUACAUAUUCUUUAUGCUGAUUCUUUUCCUAUGAUCAAUUCUUUUCC